UCAGGAUAGCUGAAACAUCUCAGCAGGUGUGGUGUGAAACUCUGCUUGCUGUGAGCACUGACUUACAACUUUGAGCUCACAGGCAUCCCGCUGAGUUUCUGUUCAGGUGAACAAAAUCCCACUUCUUCCAUGUUACAGGCUGGAUCAUCAACUGGGACAAAAAGGCAUGGCCGCAUUUAUUUGAAUGGAGCUGUACUAAUUUACAUAGAUUAAAAAAAGCCAAUUUUAAAGGAUAAUCUGCACUUAAGACCUACAGUAGGGACUGGUUCUAAUGUCACUAGCCUUGAUCCUUUUGUAAAGCUUGGAAAAAUUUUCUUGCCUGCAGUUGCUUGAGGAAAAGGUAUACAACUAAUUGAACCCCUUGGCUCUAGCUGAUGGCCUGUAGAUGUUCAUCUUGCUCAAAUAGCAGCGUAGGACUUUCCAGGUAGCAAGACGUGGCCAGUCAGAAACGGGGAAGAUGCAUGUGUUGCGUUAAUGGAUCAUCACACUGCAGUAUGUCAUUCAAAUUCACUUUAGAAACCAGGUCCAGGGCUGCCAGUGUCGCUGAUGAGCCCGGCUGUGCCCUUUGGUGGAACUGGUUGGAACCGCCUGGAACCUUCUGGAACCGGCUGGAACCACCUGGAACUGGCUGGAACCGGCUGUAUGCACCACAGGGCAGCCUACCCGCUCCUCACAGAAGAGCCCCCGCAGCUGGCGCUUGGACACAACAGGGCUUCUUUCUUAAGGGCUGCCAGUGUCGCUG